rnacentral:rRNA from 1 species
ACGGUCCUAAGGUAGCGAAAUUCCUUGUCGGGUAAGUUCCGACCUGCACGAAUGGCAUAACGAUGGCCACACUGUCUCCUCCCGAGACUCAGUGAAGUUGAAGUGUUUGUGAUGAUGCAAACUACCCGCGGCUAGACGGAAAGACCCCAUGAACCUUUACUGCAGCUUUGCAUUGAACUGUGAACCGAUUUGUGUAGGAUAGGUGGGAGACAGAGAAGGAGGAGCGCCAGCUCCUCUGGAGUCAACCUUGAAAUACCACCCUGAUUUGUUUGCGGUUCUAACCAAGACAGGACCACACUGUUUGGGACCGUGCAUGGUAGGCAGUUUGACUGGGGCGGUCUCCUCCUAAAGGGUAACGGAGGAGUACGAAGGUACGCUAGGUACGGUCGGAAAUCGUGCUGAUAGUGCAAUGGCAAAAGCGUGCUUGACUGCGAGAGCAACAACUCGAGCAGAUGCGAAAGCAGGUCAUAGUGAUCCGGUGGCACUGAAUGGAAGGGCCAUCGCUCAACGGAUAAAAGGUACUCUGGGGAUAACAGGCUGAUACCGCCCAAGAGUUCAUAUCGACGGCGGUGUUUGGCACCUCGAUGUCGGCUCAUCUCAUCCUGGGGCUGAAGUCGGUCCCAAGGGUAUGGCUGUUCGCCAUUUAAAGAGGUACGUGAGCUGGGUUUAAAACGUCGUGAGACAGUUUGGUCCCUAUCUGCCGUGGGCGUUGGAAGAUUGACGGGGGCUGCUCCUAGUACGAGAGGACCGGAGUGGACGCACCUCUGGUGUACCGGUUGUCACGCCAGUGGCAUAGCCGGGUAGCUAAGUGCGGAAGAGAUAACCGCUGAAAGCAUCUAAGCGGGAAACUUGCCUGAAGAUGAGUCUUCCCGGAGGUAAAACCUCCCAAAAGAGUCGUUCGAGACCAGGACGUCGAUAGGUCAGGUGUGUAAGUGCUGUAAGGCAUUGAGCUAACUGAUACUAAUUGCUCGUGAGGCUUGAUCCU